rnacentral:rRNA from 1 species
AACGAACGCUGGCGGCAGGCUUAACACAUGCAAGUCGAACGGGCAUAGCAAUAUGUCAGUGGCAGACGGGUGAGUAACACGUGGGAACCUUCCUAGAGGUACGGAACAACGCAGGGAAACUUGUGCUAAUACCGUAUACGCUCGAGAGAGGAAAGAUUUGUCGCCUUUAGACGGGCCCGCGUAGGAUUAGGUAGUUGGUGAGGGAACGGCUCACCAAGCCUACGAUCCUUAGCUGAUCUGAGAGGAUGAUGAGCCAAACUGGGACUGAGACACGGCCCAGACUCCUACGGGAGGCAGCAGUGGGGAAUCUUGGACAAUGGGCGCAAGCCUGAUCCAGCCAUGCCGCGUGAGUGAAGAAGGCCUUCGGGUUGUAAAGCUCCUUUACCAGGGACGAUAAUGACGGUACCUGGAGAAUAAGCCCCGGCUAACUUCGUGCCAGCCGCCGCGGUAA